GUGAAUCAUCGAAUCUUUGAACGCACCUUGCGACCCUUGGAUAUUCCGAGGGGCAUGCCUGUUUGAGUAUCAUGAACAUCUCAACUCUCAUGGUUUGCCGUGACGAGCUUGGACCUUGGGGGUUUUGCUGGCCUGUGGUCGGCUCCUCUCAAAUGAAUCAGCCUCCCAGUGUUUGGUGGCAUCACGAGUGUGAUAACUAUCUACUCUCGCGGUUGCCCACCAGGUAACCUUUGGUGACAAAGGUUCGCUGGAGCUCACAGAUGUCUCUCCUUAGCGAGGACAGCUUUUUUAACGUUCGAUCUCAAAUCAGGUAGGACUACCCGCUGAACUUAAGCAUAUCAAUAAGCGGAGG
rnacentral:rRNA from 1 species